rnacentral:tRNA from 1 species
GGGGCGUUAGUUCAGUGGGAGAAUGUUUCGCUGGCAGCGAAAAGGUCAAGGGUUCGAAUCCCUUACGCUCCACCA